UUUUCUGUCUAUUUCUUGCAACCUAUCUCUAUAUACUGCAUCUGUUGUACCUGUCUGUCCAGCUGUGUGUUUGUCCUUCUGUCUUUGUCUGCUUUGCAAUGGCCACCAGAUAUACCCCUCACAAACAGGAUCCCCACUACCAAGAGGGGAGGCUCAUGGCUCUUGAGCUGAACCAUGACCACAUUCUAGCUGAAGCCAAGAGAGCAGCUGUGGAGACGAAACGUUUAUGCCCUAGAAGAGACCCUUCACAGACCUCUAAAAGGAUCUUUGUUGGCUGGGGCAUGCCGAGUCCUUGGGAGGCAAGGAGGGGUGACGCCAAGCCUCAGCUACAGUCAGUUUUACAGGUUGAGUGCUUCCUGUCAUCCAGUGUGGAGAUUUCACCUAACUGUACCCUCAGCAAAACUAAAUCCUCAUGAGGAAUUUGGUGCAGAGAGUGGUUCUGUGGGGACCGUGGUGUAUUACGUCACAAAAAACAGCCACUCCACAAUAGGGAAUGUGUAAUUUAAUAGGUUUCUUGAAUCCAUCCGUCCAACCAAAUGCAUCAUUAAAGGGGAAGAUGGAUAUUGCACUCAACACAAGUCGGCAAGAUGACAUACUGCUGUUGUAAACGCACAAACAUAUGUUCAUCAUUCACCAGUUCUCACUUCCCUGGACUUCAACCUUGCUACACACAUGGUAUCGUUAUUAAUCGAAACAAAGACAGAUAUCUGUAUGUUUUUGUUCUCUGCAGACAAACAAAAAAUAUAAGCUGUUGCAAAGCAAUUUGGGCGUUUUGACUUGCAUCAGCCACUGUAUGUCUGUUAAACAUGCAAACAGCAAAGGACCCCAGACCUGAAAGACCUUCUGAGGAGUGGAUAUUGGCCAGCUUCAAUAAACAACACCACACUUUACACACUGGACCUCCUGAUCUCCUUUCAAGAACUCAAGGUCAUCUCUCCAAGAUUCUCCAGACAAGCCUUCGCAAAGCUGCUGGAGCAUCGCACGAAGUGUGGAGGAAGAUCUGGAUAUAUCAACGGCGAUGCACUGCAACGCAGCUUCUUGGAGUUUUCAUACGCUUCAUUUGAAGCAGACCAGCUCUGCUGUGGUGCUCCUUUCACCUGCCAAGCCUGAACGCUAGAAUUGUUGGCUGCCUCAGCAGAUCGAAACAGAAAGCUAUAUCACUUUUGCCCAAACAGAAGACUGUGGCUUGCAAAUAUUGGCCAUACUUGAAGAAAGUUGCUAGUGUCCUUCCUGAUCUUCAGGAGCUGACCUCAAUGAAACCUUUUCUUAAUGUUAUGCAUGCUUGAGCCACGCUACAAAGUGUGAGAUUAAAUGAAGUGGUAGGAACAGGGACAACCACCGGUGUGUGGAACAAGUGAACAGCUGCCUAUCACGUUGUGCCCGUACAACCAAAUGGGUGGACAUGCUUACAUUGCAUGCAAUGGGCUGGAACCAUAAAAAGUAUCUCUCUACAUCAGGCACUUUCCACAAUAUAUGUGAAAACAUCCAGCACGAGACUGCAAGGCUAGCAGAACUAAAAACAAAGCUACAUCGCACAGAUAAAGGGGCGUCACAAUGGCUUUCUGAUGUGAAAGAAUGGGUAGCUCAUGAGACAUCAGAAACAUCUCAUGCCAGUCAAGACACCACACACAGAGAACUUCAGCAGUCAAUUGAGGGGCUUUAUCUUGGUGUGAUGCUCUGCAAGCAAACUCUCUACCGUCAGAAUGACAGCAGCAAGCUUCCCUAACUGGAGAGAGCAGUGUGUCUCAGAUAUGGCCGCGGGACCUUCAUGGCAGUGCAAACAUUUCAGUCAAGAAACGAUUGCAUGACCAAGUGAUGUUGACAAUGUGACUGCAAGAGGAAAGGGGCAUUGUGGUGUUGGAGAUGGCUCAACAAUACACAUGGUUGCAGAGGCUGGCAGUGGCUCUCAAGAACAAGAUGGCUGAGGAGGACAAGGGAAAUGAAGGACUUUGCUGUCUCUUAAGAAGAAGAUCGUCAGUGGUGACAGAAGGAUUACAAGUCGUCCUUCAACAAUACAAGACUGCAUUAGGUCUUGAGGCCUCUGUCCUUCUACAUGUUGAAGAAGAAGAUCAAAGUGACCUCAGCAGUCCAGAUACCAGUGAGGAUGAAGAGGAAAACAUAAUUUAGAUAGAAACUGCACAAAGGACUGCGUUUAAGGAAAUGGACUUGGCAUAUAUCUGUGUAGUGUUAGUAUGCUAACUACAUUAAAAUCUGUAUGCAUCCUAUAUUGUUGAAAUGUUCAACCUGUGUCUAGAUUAUCAAGCAUGUUAUUUAGCACGUUGAUGCUCCUUAAAUAUGCACAAACAUCUCAAUAUAGGUGCAACCAUUGUAUGAUAUUAUCAGAUGUAAUAAUUGAACUGAUGUUAUAUUUGGCUAGUGUAUUCAUAAUUUGUGUAUUUAAAGUUGCUAAUGGGCAUUGUUAGCCACAUCACAAACUCACUGUUAAAACACUGCUUAUUGUGCCUUAUUGUGUUUAUGUACUUGCAUUGGUGCAGUAAUAUCGAUGUUAUGCAGUAAGGUCAUUGGUGUGUUUUACAAUGGCUUUGAACAGAGCUCAACCAAUCAGAAUAAUCAUUGAUAAUAAAGUAAGUUUUAUAAUGGGUAAGUUGAUAUGAAAUAUUGUAAGCACAUUCAUCAGGAUGACUUUGCUGACCUUGUGACCUUUAUUACCACAUUUAGGCCAAAACGUGAAAACUCUACUUGAUUGAGUGUAUUAUAGGAUUGUGCACCAUUGAAGAUAAACAUCAUAAAUUCUUUCUUAAAGAUGGAUAAUUUGUUGGCAAUGUGUCUGUCACUAUUAAACACUAUAGUAUGGAAAAGAAAAAUACACUACAUUUAUAUUUUAUGAUUAUACUUAUAUUGUGUAUUACUACAUUUGAUAGAUAACUUUAUUCCCUGUUCUGCUGGUGGUUUUCAAGUGAACUUCACAGUCUAGUGUUAUUAAAUUCAGCCUUAUGGCUUGAUUGACAAAUUUGCAUUUCAUGUAUUUUCAC